rnacentral:rRNA from 2 species
UCAAAUUUGAAAUCUGGCUUCGGCCCGAGUUGUAAUUUGUAGAGGAUGCUUUUGGUGCGGUGCCUUCUGAGUUCCCUGGAACGGGACGCCUUAGAGGGUGAGAGCCCCGUAAAGUUGGACACCAAGCCUAUGUAAAGCUCCUUCGACGAGUCGAGUAGUUUGGGAAUGCUGCUCAAAAUGGGAGGUAAAUUUCUUCUAAAGCUAAAUACCGGCCAGAGACCGAUAGCGCACAAGUAGAGUGAUCGAAAGAUGAAAAGCACUUUGAAAAGAGGGUUAAAAAGUACGUGAAAUUGUUGAAAGGGAAGCGCUCAUGACCAGACUUGUGCCCUGCGGAUCAUCCAGCCUUCUGGCUGGUGCACUUCGCUUGGUUCAGGCCAGCAUCGGUUCUCCGGGGGGGAUAAAAGCUUCAGGAACGUAGCUCCCUCGGGAGCAUUAUAGCCUGUUGCAUAAUCCC